rnacentral:rRNA from 1 species
CAGUCGCCGCGGUAAUACAGAGGGUGCGAGCGUUAAUCGGAUUUACUGGGCGUAAAGCGUGCGUAGGCGGCUUCUUAAGUCGGAUGUGAAAUCCCUGAGCUUAACUUAGGAAUUGCAUUCGAUACUGGGAAGCUAGAGUAUAAGAGAGGAUGGUAGAAUUCCAGGUGUAGCGGUGAAAUGCGUAGAGAUCUGGAGGAAUACCGAUGGCGAAGGCAGCCAUCUGGCCUAAUACUGACGCUGAGGUACGAAAGCAUGGGGAGCAAACAGGAUUAGAUACCCCAGUAGUCCCUGUCUCUUAUAC